GACACCAAAAAACACCUGGGGACACCUGGGGACAUUGGGGACAUUGGGGACAUUGGGGACAUCCCUGGGGACAUUGGGGACACCUGGGGACACCAAAAUACACCCAAAUACACCUGGGGACACCUGGGGACAUUGGGGACACUUUGGGGACAUCCCUGGGGACACCUGGAGACACCAAAAUACACCUGGAGACACCAAAAUACACCUGGGACACCUGGGGACAUUGGGGACACCAAAAAAUACCUGGGGACAUUGGGGACACUUUGGGGACAUCCCUGGGGACAUUGGGGACACCCAAAUACACCCAAAUACACCUGGGGACACCUGGGGACAUUGGGGACACCAAAAAACACCUGGGACAUCCCUGGGGACAUUGGGGACACCUGGGAACACCAAAAAACACCUGGGGACAUUGGGGACACUUUGGGGACAUCCCUGGGGACAUUGGGGACACCCAAAAGCACCUGGGGACACCAAAAAACACCUGGGGACACCAAAAAACACCUGGGACACCUGGGGACAUUGGGGACACUUUGGGGACACCUGGAGACACCAAAAUACACCUGGGGACACUUUGGGGACACCUGGGGACGCUUUGGGGACACCAAAAUACACCUGGGGACAUUGGGGACACCAAAAAACACCUGGGGACAUCCCUGGGGACAUUGGGGACACCUGGGGACACCCAAAUACACCUGGGGACACCAAAAAACACCUGGGGACACCUGGGGACAUCCCUGGGACAUUGGGGACACCCAAAUACACCUGGGGACAUCGGGGACACCUGGGGACACCAAAAAACACCUGGGGACACCAAAAUACACCUGGGGACAUCCCUGGGGACACCUGGGGACAUUGGGGACACCCAAAUACACCCAAAUACACCUGGGGACAUUGGGGACAUUGGGGACACCAAAAAACACCUGGGGACACCCAAAUACACCUGGGGACACUUUGGGGACAUCUCUGGGACAUCUGGGGACACUUUGGGGACACCAAAAAACACCCAAAUACACCCAAAUACACCCAAAUACACCUGGGGACACUGGGGACAGUGGGGACAUUGGGGACACCAAAAUACACCCAAAUACACCCAAAAUACACCUGGGGACACUUUGGGGACAUCCCUGGGGACAUUGGGGACAUUGGGGACACUUUGGGGACAGCUGGGGACAUCCCUGGGGACACCUGGGGACACCUGGGACACCCAAAUACACCUGGGGACAUUGGGGACAUUGGGAACAUUGGGGACACCCAAAUACACCCAAAUACACCCAAAUACACCUGGGGACACCAAAAAACACCUGGGGACACUUUGGGGACAUCCCUGGGGACAUUGGGGACACCCAAAUACACCUGGGGACAUUGGGGACACCUGGGGACACUUUGGGGACAUUGGGGACACCUGGAGACACCAAAAUACACCUGGGGACAUCCCUGGGGACAUCCCUGGGGACACCUGGGGACACCAAAAAACACCCAAAUACACCAAAAAACACCUGGGGACACCAAAAUACACCUGGGGACAUUGGGGACAUUGCGGACACCCAAAUACACCUGGGGACACCCAAAUAAAUACACCUGGGGACACCUGGGGACAUUUUGGGGACAUCCC
rnacentral:lncRNA from 1 species